rnacentral:rRNA from 1 species
GACGUAGGGCGCGAGCGUUGUUCGGAAUUAUUGGGCGUAAAGCGCGUGUAGGCGGCUUUGCAAGUCGGGUGUGAAAGCCCUCAGCUCAACUGAGGAAGUGCGCCCGAAACUGCAGAGCUUGAGUACCGGAGAGGAUGGUGGAAUUCCCCAAGUAGAGGUGAAAUUCGUAGAUAUGGGGAGGAACACCGGUGGCGAAGGCGACCAUCUGGACGGAUACUGACGCUGAGACGCGAAAGCGUGGGUAGCAAACAGG